rnacentral:lncRNA from 1 species
GUGAAGCCUGUUGGGAGCGCAUGGCUGGGGAUUGAAGGGAGCGACUUGAACCCAGGACCGAGGACUUGUGCGCCCCUUGGAAAUGUGCAACUUGAACCCAUGGCCAGGACUUAAUGUGCCCCUUGGAAGCACAUAACUCGAACCCACGACCCACCACCGCAGAGGACGUUAUUGGGCGGUUGGGAGCGCAUGACUUGAACCCCCAACCGAGGACGGGAUGUGCGACUUGAACCCGUGGCCAGGACUUAAAUGUGCGAGGUGAAGCCUGUUGGGAGCGCAUGAGUCGAACCCAUGACUGGGGAUUGACUGUUGGGAAUGUGCGAUUUGAACCCGCAACUGGGACUGAAUGGGAGUGCGCAAUUUGAACCCAGGGCCGAGGACUUAAUGCGCCCAUUAGAAGUGUGCGAUGUGAACCCACAACCGAGGAGUUAAUGCACCACUUGCAAGUGCAUGACUCGAACCCAUGGCCGGGACUUAAUGG